CGCAGCGUGGUUUGUUAAGUCAGAUGUGAAAGCCCCGAGCUUAACUUGGGAACUGCGUUUGAAACUGGCAAGCUAGAGUCUGUCAGAGGGGGGUAGAAUUCCACGUGUAGCAGUGAAAUGCGUAGAGAUGUGGAGGAAUACCAAUGGCGAAGGCAGCCCCCUGGGAUAAGACUGACGCUCAUGCACGAAAGCGUGGGGGAGCAAACAGGAUUAGAUACCCUGGUAGUCCACGCCCUAAACGAUGUCAACUGGUUGUUGGGCAACUUGAUUGUUCAGUAACGAAGCUAACGCGAGAAGUUGACCGCCUGGGGAGUACGGUCGCAAGAUUAAAACUCAAAGGAAUUGACGGGGACCCGCACAAGCGGUGGAUGAUGUGGAUUAAUUCGAUGCAACGCGAAAAACCUUACCUACCCUUGACAUGUACGGAAGUCUGCUGAGAGGUGGAUGUGCCUGAAAGGGAACCGUAACACAGGUGCUGCAUGGCUGUCGUCAGCUCGUGUCGUGAGAUGUUGGGUUAAGUCCCGCAACGAGCGCAACCCUUGCUAUUAAUUGCCAUCAUUAAGUUGGGCACUUUAAUAGGACUGCUGGUGAUAAACCGGAGGAAGGUGGGGAUGACGUCAAGUCCUCAUGGCCCUUAUGGGUAGGGCUUUACACGUCAUACAAUGGCCGGUACAGAGGGAUGCCAACCCGGGAGGGGGAGCCAAUCUCAGAAAGCCGGUCGUAGUCCGGGUUGUUCUCUGCAACUCGAGAGCAUGAAGUUGGAAUAGGUAGUAAUCGC
rnacentral:rRNA from 1 species